rnacentral:rRNA from 1 species
UACGUAGGGCGCGAGCGUUGUCCGGAAUUAUUGGGCGUAAAGAGCUCGUAGGCGGCCAGUUGCGUCUGCUGUGAAAUCCCGGGGCUCAACCCCGGGCGUGCAGUGGAUACGGGCUGGCUAGAGGCAGGCAGGGGAGAACGGAAUUCCCGGUGUAGCGGUGAAAUGCGCAGAUAUCGGGAGGAACACCGGUGGCGAAGGCGGUUCUCUGGGCCUGUACUGACGCUGAGGAGCGAAAGCGUGGGGAGCGAACAGG